CUCAUCAUUUCCCCUACGAUCACCGAAGUUAAGCAACGUCGAGCCUGGUCAGUACCUAUAUAAGUGACCGCUUGGGUAUACCAGGUGUUGUAAG